rnacentral:rRNA from 1 species
CCUACGGGUGGCUGCAGUGGGGAAUAUUGCACAAUGGGCGCAAGCCUGAUGCAGCCAUGCCGCGUGUGUGAAGAAGGCCUUCGGGUUGUAAAGCACUUUCAGCGGGGAGGAAGGCGGUGAGGUUAAUAACCUCAUCGAUUGACGUUACCCGCAGAAGAAGCACCGGCUAACUCCGUGCCAGCAGCCGCGGUAAUACGGAGGGUGCAAGCGUUAAUCGGAAUUACUGGGCGUAAAGCGCACGCAGGCGGUCUGUCAAGUCGGAUGUGAAAUCCCCGGGCUCAACCGGGGAACUGCAUUCGAAACUGGCAGGCUAGAGUCUUGUAGAGGGGGGUAGAAUUCCAGGUGUAGCGGUGAAAUGCGUAGAGAUCUGGAGGAAUACCGGUGGCGAAGGCGGCCCCCUGGACAAAGACUGACGCUCAGGUGCGAAAGCGUGGGGAGCAAACAGUAUUAGAUACCCCUGUAGUC